rnacentral:lncRNA from 1 species
GGGAAGCAGACUGGACAGAAAGGAACUCUGAGCAGCUAAACUCUGACUAAUCCCAGGGUAUACCUGCGUUUUCUCUUCACCAGAUUUUUCCUACCAGGAAGAGCAUGUGCUGACCAACAGACAUGAAUUUCAGCCUGGUAGUUACAACAUUCACAGGAGUUUCACUCGUUGCCCAGGCUGGAGUGCAACGGCGCGAUCUCAGCUCACUGCAACCUCCGCCUCCCCAGUUCAAGCGAUUCUCCUGCCUCAGCCUCCUGAGUCACUGGAAUUACGGGCGCCUGACACCACGCCCAGCUAAUUUUUUGUAUUUUUAGUAGACAUGGGGUUUCACUAUGUUGGCCAGGCUGGUCUCGAACUCCUGACCUCAUGAUCCUCCUGCCUCAGCCUCCCAAAGCACUGGGAUUACAGGUGUGAGCCACUGUGCCUGGUCCAUUAAAAACAUUUGUAAAGCUAUGGUGUUGAUAAAGUAUUAUGAAAGACUGCAAAAAAAGAUGGCUAAUUUUUAGUUAUUAUUGCACAUGUUUAGAGGAGCUAAUGACAUUUUCUAUGAUUAAUAAAAGACAUUAUUUAUGUUUUUAUUUAUGUAUUCCACAACAUUUAUUUUAUUUUCUCCAUUUCAGGAAAACCACUAUGUUGUUACAAUAAAGAUUUUCAUGUAAUUUGUGUUCAAUUGAUAGUAAUAAUGUAACAAGUUAAAAAUGAAGGUAAUUGUGUUUAAAAUUU